AUUGAACGCUGGCGGAAUGCUUUACACAUGCAAGUCGAACGGCAGCACGGACUUCGGUCUGGUGACGAGUGGCGAACGGGUGAGUAAUAUAUCGGAACGUGCCCAGUCGUGGGGGAUAACGUAGCGAAAGUUACGCUAAUACCGCAUACGAUCUACGGAUGAAAGCGGGGGAUCGCAAGACCUCGCGCGAUUGGAGCGGCCGAUAUCAGAUUAGGUAGUUGGUGGGGUAAAGGCUCACCAAGCCAACGAUCUGUAGCUGGUCUGAGAGGACGACCAGCCACACUGGAACUGAGACACGGUCCAGACUCCUACGGGAGGCAGCAGUGGGGAAUUUUGGACAAUGGACGCAAGUCUGAUCCAGCCAUUCCGCGUGCAGGAUGAAGGCCCUCGGGUUGUAAACUGCUUUUGUACGGAACGAAAAGGCUCUUCCUAAUACGAGGGGCUCAUGACGGUACCGUAAGAAUAAGCACCGGCUAACUACGUG
rnacentral:rRNA from 1 species